AGAAAGUUCCUGUCCUGCAGAGCUUCCACUGAAUUUUCUUGUGUGAAUGUUUUUGAUAGGUGUACAAGUAUAUUUUCUGCAAUUUAAUACUUUGCUGUUUACGUUUCAUAUAAUAGUUAUAUUAUUAUGAAAACAAGAAAGUGCAUUAUUAUUCUUUUGCAAUAAUAAUGUGGCUGCAUUUCUCGAUGAUUUUCUGGAGCUUACCGAAAUUUUGAAUGGAAUGUUUCCUGAUCGUGAUGCAGCCAUGUGCCUAUCAGACGGAAAAAUUGGUUCCGCGUGGCAUUCUCCUGGACUUGGCUUUUGGUCAUUUGCGAGUGCCUUUUGUUUCGGAUGGUCAACUCCAGCGUCAACUCUAUAUACAGUACAAGACAGCGGAUAAGGGAAGUCUGGCGGACCGACGUCCACUACAGAGUAGACUUCCGUUGUCCGCUUUCUUGAAGAUAGACUUGUCACUUCCGGUGCGGGAAUUGAGGUAUCAGGAUACGAAUAAUAUGGCUAUAUCGCAAACGCAUUAGCGCUUUGCAUUGCGUACUAUAUGCAGUGCCAAUCGCAAGUGUAUCUGCGAUAAACGCGAUCCAGAAUUCCACCGGGUAGCGGCGGGUACACGCUGCAUUCCCCACUCAACUACCAGUACGCCCGCCAGUUACACAAGAAGCCCAAGAUAUAUUACUUACUAGCGGCGGUUGUUAACCACAUUAUUGCACGAGCGCGAGCGCCAGUACCACUGGGUAGUGGUACUGGGUUUCUGGAAUUGGUAAAGUGAGCCGUGACGCUCUUCGUGGCGUCAGACAAAUUUGUGCUCUUGACGAUCAGUUAACUGCUUACUGCACUACUGCAGCACCUCGCGCUUCGCGCUCGGUGCAAAUUAGAGCUACGCUAAGUUGCCUUUUAGUUGUGAACAGGACGACAAACGUUAUUAAUUUUAUACGGGCAUUUGACUUGUCCGAACUUUUCCGCAGACAUCUGUCCGGUUUGACCAACUGCGAUGUGGUUGUCACAGUAAAUUAUUUAUGCUACCGUAUUGUUAUGUUUUAAUUUGGUGUCGUUUACAGAUU